rnacentral:rRNA from 1 species
UGGGGAAUAUUGGACAAUGGGCGAAAGCCUGAUCCAGCCAUGCCGCGUGUGUGAAGAAGGUCUUCGGAUUGUAAAGCACUUUAAGUUGGGAGGAAGGGCAUUAACCUAAUACGUUAGUGUUUUGACGUUACCGACAGAAUAAGCACCGGCUAACUCUGUGCCAGCAGCCGCGGUAAUACAGAGGGUGCAAGCGUUAAUCGGAAUUACUGGGCGUAAAGCGCGCGUAGGUGGUUUGUUAAGUUGGAUGUGAAAUCCCCGGUCUCAACCUGGGAACUGCAUUCAAAACUGACGGACUAGAGUAUGGUAGAGGGUGGUGGAAUUUCCUGUGUAGCGGUGAAAUGCGUAGAUAUAGGAAGGAACACCAGUGGCGAAGGCGACCACCUGGACUAAUACUGACACUGAGGUGCGAAAGCGUGGGGAGCAAACA